rnacentral:rRNA from 1 species
UACGGGGGGGGCAAGCGUUGUUCGGAAUUACUGGGCGUAAAGGGCGCGUAGGCGGCCUUCUAAGUCGGACGUGAAAUCCCUCGGCUUAACCGAGGAACUGCGUCCGAUACUGAAAGGCUUGAAUCCGGGAGAGGGAUGUGGAAUUCCAGGUGUAGCGGUGAAAUGCGUAGAUAUCUGGAGGAAUACCGGUGGCGAAGGCGGCAUCCUGGACCGACAUUGACGCUGAUGAGCGAAAGCUAGGGGAGCAAACGGGG